UACGUAGGGUGCGAGCGUUGUCCGGAAUUAUUGGGCGUAAAGGGCUCGUAGGCGGUUUGUCGCGUCGGGAGUGAAAACGCCGUGCUUAACACGGCGCUUGCUUUCGAUACGGGCAGACUAGAGGUAUGCAGGGGAGAACGGAAUUCCUGGUGUAGCGGUGAAAUGCGCAGAUAUCAGGAGGAACACCGGUGGCGAAGGCGGUUCUCUGGGCAUUACCUGACGCUGAGGAGCGAAAGUGUGGGGAGCGAACAGG
rnacentral:rRNA from 2 species